CUAUGCGCCUUGCCAGCCCGCUCAGGUGUGCCAGCAGCCGCGGUAAUACGUAGGGGGCAAGCGUUAUCCGGAUUUACUGGGUGUAAAGGGAGCGUAGACGGCAGUGCAAGUCUGGAGUGAAAGGCGGGGGCUCAACCCCCGGACUGCUCUGGAAACUGUACAGCUGGAGUGCAGGAGAGGUAAGUGGAAUUCCUAGUGUAGCGGUGAAAUGCGUAGAUAUUAGGAGGAACACCAGUGGCGAAGGCGGCUUACUGGACUGUAACUGACGUUGAGGCUCGAAAGCGUGGGGAGCAAGCAGG
rnacentral:rRNA from 1 species